AGCAGUCGCCGCGGAAAUACGUAGGUGGCGAGCGUUGUCCGGAUUUAUUGGGCGUAAAGGGAGUGUAGGCGGUCUUUUAAGUCUGAUGUGAAAGCCCACGGCUCAACCGUGGAGGGUCAUUGGAAACUGGGAGACUUGAGUGCAGGAGAGAAAAGUGGAAUUCCUAGUGUAGCGGCGAAAUGCGUAGAGAUUAGGAGGAACACCAGUGGCGGAGGCGACUUUCUGGACUGCAACUGACACUGAGGCACGAAAGCGUGGGGAGCAAACAGGAUUAGAUACCCCUGUAGUCCCUGUCUCUUAUAC
rnacentral:rRNA from 1 species